GUGCUUGACUGGCUGCUAGUAGGGCAAAGCUCCACCCUGUAGUCAAAACAGGUUGGCAUCUCCAGAAGUGUGCAAAAUUCAGUCCAAUCUCCUCCAGGGAUCUAUAGAACAAGAAAUUGCAAUGUAGUUCUGCAACAAAAAAGAAAAAGCGACAAGAAAAUCACAGCAGGUUGAAUAAUACCAAACAUCAGCUCUGAAGCAAUAUGCCAGAAAACCCAAAGGAAAAUGGAGGAGAAACCACUUUAAAAUAUACUUGGAUGUUCUAUGUUGAUCAUAGAUGUUAAUUGAUUCUAUUCAUUGCUGGUAGGAAUGAGCAGGUUAGUGCUUACAAAAUCCACGAGCAGUCAUGUUUGGUUUCACAUGUUUGCUUCUACAAUUUUAAAAAAUAUACACUGGAAAUCUGGAGAAUGUGCCACAUCCCUGUCUUCCUGAGCAACAGCUGAUGAA